rnacentral:lncRNA from 1 species
AGAAUGCAGUUUUAGCUCCGAUUCGACUCUACUUCGCACCGGUCGAUGCUAAAACCUUCCUAACUCUUUCUAAACUUACUUUUAACUCUUCCAACAUUGUUGGAAUGCUAGACGGAACUUGUCCAACUAUUUCUCUCGACAACUUUAACCAAUUUGGGUAAAGUUCGAUAUUCGCUAUCGGAUUUCAAUAUGUUACAACCACAUCAAGGAGAGCAGAGAAAGGGAGGGGAGAGAGAGAGAGAGACAAAGCUUGAAAGGGCUUUGAGUAAAGAAGUGGAAUUUGAAGUUGGAUUUUGAUGAGUACUAUAAAAAUUAAGAGGAAGAUAGAGACGGAGAUCGAAAGGAUGGUCUCUUCUACCGAAGAGAUGUGAGAGGAAUAGACACGAUCUCUUUCUUUUACACUAUAGGCUACAUCUUCAAUGAAUAGAGAGAUGAAUAAUAAAGUAAGUAGGCCCCACAAUCAAAACUUAAGGUAAUCUUGACACGUGGACAUAAUUAUAAGAAUUCAUUAUAAUUUAUAGAUUAUAGAUUAUAGAUUUCUAAGAUACCACAAUACGACCAUAUUAGUAAAGUAUUAAUAUUUAGUCAACUUAAUUAAACAGGCGAAUUUAAUUGCAC